UACGAGGGGGGCGAGCGUUGGUCGGAAUUAUUGGGCGUAAAGGGUGCGUAGGCGGUUUGGUAAGUCUUAUGUGAAAUCUACAGGCUCAACUUGUAGUCUGCAUGAGAAACUGCCGGGCUUGAGUAUGGGAGAGGUGAGUGGAAUUCCUGGUGUAGCGGUGAAAUGCGUAGAUAUCAGGAGGAACACCUGUGGCGAAAGCGGCUCACUGGACCAUAACUGACGCUGAGGCGCGAAAGCUGGGGGAGCAAACAGG
rnacentral:rRNA from 1 species